rnacentral:rRNA from 1 species
GACAGAGGAUGCAAGCGUUAUCCGGAAUGAUUGGGCGUAAAGCGUCUGUAGGUGGCUUUUUAAGUCCGCCGUCAAAUCCCAGGGCUCAACCCUGGACAGGCGGUGGAAACUACCAAGCUGGAGUACGGUAGGGGCAGAGGGAAUUUACGGUGUAGCAGUGAAAUGCGUAGAGAUCGGGAGGAACACCAGAGGCGAAGGCGGCGACCUGGACAGUUACUGACACUCAACUACGAAAGCGUGGGGAGCAAACAGG